rnacentral:rRNA from 1 species
CCAGACUCCUACGGGAGGCAGCAGUGAGGAAUAUUGGUCAAUGGACGCAAGUCUGAACCAGCCAAGUAGCGUGCAGGAUGACGGCCCUCCGGGUUGUAAACUGCUUUUAGUUGGGAAUAAAAGGGGGCUCGUGAGCCCCGUAUUGUAUGUACCAUCAGAAAAAGGACCGGCUAAUUCCGUGCCAGCAGCCGCGGUAAUACGGAAGGUCCGGGCGUUAUCCGGAUUUAUUGGGUUUAAAGGGAGCGUAGGCCGGCUUUUAAGUCAGCGGUAAAAAUUCGGGGCUCAACCCCGUCCGGCCGUUGAAACUGGAGGCCUUGAGUGGGCGAGAAGAAGGCGGAAUGCGUGGUGUAGCGGUGAAAUGCAUAGAUAUCACGCAGAACUCCGAUUGCGAAGGCAGCAUACCGGCGCCCUACUGACGCUGAGGCACGAAAGCGUGGGUAUCGAACAGGAUUAGAUACCCCGGUAG